UACGUAGGUGGCAAGCGUUAUCCGGAUUUAUUGGGCGUAAAGGGAGCGUAGACGGCAAUGCAAGCCAGAUGUGAAAGCCCGGGGCUCAACCCCGGGACUGCAUUUGGAACUGUGUAGCUGGAGUGUCGGAGAGGCAGGCGGAAUUCCUAGUGUAGCGGUGAAAUGCGUAGAUAUUAGGAGGAACACCAGUGGCGAAGGCGGCCUGCUGGACGAUAACUGACGUUGAGGCUCGAAAGCGUGGGGAGCAAAUA
rnacentral:rRNA from 1 species